CCUACGGGUGGCAGCAGUGAGGAAUAUUGGUCAAUGGACGAGAGUCUGAACCAGCCAAGUAGCGUGAAGGAUGACUGCCCUAUGGGUUGUAAACUUCUUUUAUAUGGGAAUAAAAUGUUACACGUGUGGGAUUUUGUAUGUACCAUAUGAAUAAGGAUCGGCUAACUCCGUGCCAGCAGCCGCGGUAAUACGGAGGAUCCGAGCGUUAUCCGGAUUUAUUGGGUUUAAAGGGAGCGUAGGUGGGUUGUUAAGUCAGUUGUGAAAGUUUGCGGCUCAACCGUAAAAUUGCAGUUGAAACUGGCAGUCUUGAGUACAGUAGAGGUGGGCGGAAUUCGUGGGGUAGCGGUGAAAGGCUUAGAUAUCACGAAGAACUCCGAUUGCGAAGGCAGCUCACUGGACUGCAACUGACACUGAGGCUCGAAAGUGUGGGUAUCAAACAGGAUUAGAUACCCUUGUAGUC
rnacentral:rRNA from 1 species